UAUCACUACAGAAAAGAAGAACACAAUCGGGAUCUGUGCACCAUAUAAAGACAUCAGUGAGACAGAGAUGCCACUAACUAAAUGUUUUUCUUCGGUUUUUAAGAAAAUAUUUGCAUUUCUGAAACGAUAUUCUUUUGUAUUCAUUUUUCUAUUGAGUCUUUUGUUAAUCGGAUUUGAAGAGUUCCUGGAAGCAAAAGUUUUCUCAUGCCCGUGCAGACAUGAUCUGAAUGUACAACUAACGGCGUGCGUCUUCAUCGGACCUGCUCUCUUUAUUUUCGAACUACUCUUCCUCUUUUUAAGGCCUUUUAGAGAGAAAUGCAGUCAUUUUUCUGAAGGAGCAGAUGAUGAUACUCAGCAGAACUGUCCUAAAGCUUUCACAUCAUGUCUGAUUCCACCUAUAAUGUGGGCCAUCAUUUUGUUACUCGAUGGAGAUUACUUUGCUUGUGCCAUGACAUAUUGGAAGGGAAUUUCCACAUUUGACAGUCAGCUCAACAGAUCAUGGUGUAAACCUAUCGAAAAGUUCAGAAAUGUGACAGCGCUUCGAAAUUUGACUCAAACACAUAUACAUCAAUCUCAGAUAUAUGGUUAUGGUGUGAGCACGGUCUUCAUUGUCUUUCCAAUUAUCUGUGUGGGAAUUAUUGACUGCUGUGGAAAAUCUGCCUGCUGCUCCAGAGCUGGACGUGGCUGAACACAAAUGGACACAACCAUGAACAACACACUUUCCAAACUGCUUAAAAAAGGGGCACCGAUCUAUCAGUAUUAGUAUCUAUCUUACAUAUUAAUGGAUCAUUAUAUCAUAUUAAUGCAACUCCAAAAGAGGAACAUGCCUCAUCUUCCCUCCCUACUUAAUGUGAUCAAUUUCAAAAGCGAAAGUGAAAGUAAAAAACACAAAAAAAGCGAUUGCAUUAGCGAUUUCAGAUUGCACGCUUCUCACUCGAACCAGACACCCAUGUGACUUGAUGGCAUUAUAUGCUGAGCUAACAAUAACACAGCACAGAAAAUGAAAGAACAACUGAUGCCCAGUUCCUCCAUGAGUGGUUUAAAAUCGUCCAGAAUUUGUUGUUUUGGUCCUUAUAACGUAGGCUACAGUGUGCUGAAUGAAGCAGUCUUUGUAAACUCGCAAAAAAAAUUAUUACUAAACCUACA